CUACGGGAGGCAGCAGUGGGGAAUAUUGGGCAAUGGGCGCAAGCCUGACCCAGCAACGCCGCGUGCACGAUGAAGGCCUUCGGGUCGUAAAGUGCUUUUCGGGGAGACGAGGAAGGACGGUAUCCCCGGAAUAAGGAUCGGCUAACUACGUGCCAGCAGCCGCGGUAAAACGUAGGAUCCGAGCGUUAUCCGAAUUCACUGGGCGUAAAGCGCGUGCAGGCGGUUCAGUAAGUUGGAUGUGAAAUCUCCUGGCUCAACUAGGAGAGGACGUUCAAUACUGUUGGACUAGAGGACGGCAGAGGAAGGUGGAAUUCCCGGUGUAGUGGUGAAAUGCGUAGAUAUCGGGAGGAACACCAGAGGCGAAGGCGGCCUUCUGGGCCGUACCUGACGCUCAGACGCGAAAGCUAGGGGAGCGAACGGGAUUAGAUACCCGCGUAGUCCC
rnacentral:rRNA from 1 species